rnacentral:tRNA from 1 species
UUCAGAGAACAGAGAACUUCACUGAUUCUCUUGUAUAGACAAAGAAUAUGUUUGGUUUGCAAAGAUUAUUUUCAUUAAUGGGACUAUAGCUCAGCUGGCUAGAGCGCUCGACUGAUAAUCGUGAGGUCUCAGGUUCGAGUCCUGAUAGUCCCACCAUUAUGCAAUGUUAAAUGUUUAAUGUUGAAUUUUGAAUGAAAUAAUUCAAAAUUCAACAUUAAGCAUUUAAAAUUAAUACUGGGGAAUUAGCUCAGCUGGGAGAGCGCCUGCCUUGCACGCAGGAGGUCAGCGGUUCGAUCCCGCUAUUCUCCACCAUAGCCAUUAAUGAUAAAGUUCGGAUUAAAUUAAAGUUAGAAGUCAUAAUGUGAAGAGUUGUAUAAAAACUUAAUAUCAGUUCUGUUUAGUAGAAUUGAUAUUAGGUUUUUUUAGCCUAAAAUGUUAUUUAAAAAUUUAUUGUUAAUAGUCAAAAAAUGUUUUUUCUAAAUAUUUUUCAAUGAUUAAGAAUUAAGCGUUAAGCAUUAAGAAUUAAGAAUUGUGGAGUAGUUUUAAUAAGAUAGUCAGAGAAUACUCAUCAAAAAAAUCCUAAUAUUGAUUGAAAAGGCCAAUAUUGGGAGUA